UGUCAUUCACCCUAUAAAUAGGGCCCUCCUGCAGAUGGUCAGCUGGAAGUCUCACCUGAGGGGAGGACUCUGCGGAGGCCUCUUAAUGGGGACUCCCUCCUGGCUGUCUCCAGGGGGCUUCCCCAGCUGAUAAGGUUGGAUGUUCAAGAGAGACAGGCAGUCAACAAAGAUGUGUUUGACCUUUAACAUCAAAAGUGAUCAAGGACAAGGGAGCCAAAGACGAAACCUAUUUACUCACCAGGUUACUGGCAGCGUCUAGAGAAGUCACAGGCUGUGAGUGGCUGCGCAAGUUGACUGGUAACCGUGGCAACCGGAAGGCGGUGAA